GAGCUACUGCAAGAUGAUAUGUGACUUAGAUCUGUAGGAAAUUGGUCUGUGUUUUCUUGUACAAGAGUCUCUCUGAUAUGGCCAAGAUUUCUAGAUACUUUAAAUACUUUACUUUAGGUAAUAUUUCUAUGCUAUUACAGGCACAAGGUCAGUGUGUCUGUAAAAGUGUUAACACAUAAUAAAGGCUUUCUUUACCUACUGCAUUCUAGCUCUGUCUUGCACUGCCUUAUGAGGAUGCGACACUGCGUGGAUAUGAGAAGCCGGAAAGGACAGGCAUGGCAUGGAGUUUACUUUGCCAACAUUGGGUUAUAAAUGUGUCUGGGACCUUGCCAUGUGUCUGCGUGGCCCAGAGGCCCCGAAGCAUCCCUGAGUUGCAGCCAGGAGGACCUGUGUCCAUGCACACAGCAAAACAACUUCUUGCACUGACACAGUGGUAUGAAAAGAAAGUGCUGGGAGCUACUGAACUGGACAGCGGCUUCAAAUGCCAGUGACCUCCGGGAGCUGGGAGUGAACGUUGUAAUUGAUAUAAGGAUGGAAGCUGCUGCACUACAAAGUGGCAUUUUGGAUACUGUGGGAACAGGUGAUGUGAAGCAUCCUCGGCGAGAUCUGUUUCCCUCCACUCUUUUGACUCCUGUCAGAGAACUGGCAUCAAACAGAAGAUCUAUUUUUCGCCCUGCUCUGGUUGUCUGCAGCAUCUGGAUAAGCUGAAGACAGCAUUUGCUAAACUGAAAAGUAUUUAGGGAGAAGUUCUCUGUCUGUACCUCGCCUCUCAGCAGCUGGACCAUUUAUGGAUGCUCUGUAAGGGCAGUGUACAAUGACUUGCAGCAUUCCUCCAUGAGAAGCUUUUGUGGGAUUUCUGUCUUAUCAUUAGCACGUUAUAAAAAUGUCAACUAUUUCCAAACCUUUCAAGUUUCAUUGGAAGGACUACUCUGAAUUUCAGCCCUGAAGUCGGUUGAUGUGCGGUUUGAUCAUCUGUUCCUCCUCUCGUACAGAUGCUCUCAAUGUGGGCAGCAGAGCAGCGCUGUCACAGCAGAUUAAUGGCAGAAUGCAGCACUGCUUGUGGAAGCAGAGUAACUAAAGACCAACAGUGAUGUUGUAUCAUCUGAAUAAACCCUGAAAU
rnacentral:lncRNA from 7 species